UACGUAGGAUGCAAGCGUUGUCCGGAAUUAUUGGGCGUAAAGAGCGCGCAGGCGGUCGUGCAAGUCGCGUGUGAAAGCCCCCGGCUCAACUGGGGAGGGUCACGCGAUACUGCUCGACUCGAAGGCAGGAGAGGGAAGUGGAAUUCCCGGUGUAGUGGUGAAAUGCGUAGAUAUCGGAAGGAACACCUGUGGCGAAAGCGGCUCACUGGACCAUUACUGACGCUGAGGCACGAAAGCUAGGGGAGCAAACAGG
rnacentral:rRNA from 1 species